rnacentral:rRNA from 1 species
AGGAGGCAGCAGUAAGGAAUAUUGGACAAUGGUCGCAAGACUGAUCCAGCCAUGCCGCGUGCAGGAUGACUGCCCUAUGGGUUGUAAACUGCUUUUGUACGGGAAUAAACCCCUCUACGUGUAGAGGGCUGAAUGUACCGUAAGAAUAAGGAUCGGCUAACCUCGUGCCAGCAGCCGCGGUAAGACGAAGGAUCCAAGCGUUAUCCGGAUUUAUUGGGUUUAAAGGGUGCGUAGGCGGAUUGAUAAGUCAGUGGUGAAAGCCUGCAGCUUAACUGCAGAACUGCCAUUGAUACUGUCGAUCUUGAAUGUGGUUGAUGUGGGCGGAAUAUGACAUGUAGCGGUGAAAUGCUUAGAUAUGUCAUAGAACACCGAUUGCGAAGGCAGCUCACAAAGCCAUUAUUGACGCUGAGGCACGAAAGCGUGGGGAUCAAACAGGAUUAGAAACCCUGGUAGUCCU